GGGGACGUAGCUCAGCUGGCUAGAGCACCUGCUUUGCAAGCAGGGGGUCGUGGGUUCGACUCCCAUCGUCUCCA
rnacentral:tRNA from 4 species